rnacentral:rRNA from 1 species
AGAGUUUGAUCCUGGCUCAGAACGAACGCUGGCGGCGUGCUUAACACAUGCAAGUUGGACGAGAAAUCGUGCUUUUGGGUACGAGAGUAAAGUAGCGGACGGGUGAGUAGCGCGUGGGUAACCUAUCCUUAAAUCUGGGAUAAUUCACUGAAAGGUGGACUAAUACCGGGUAGCAUAUAUAUGCUGUAGCAUAUAUAUGAGAGCUAGCCUCUGAGGGAAGCUAGUGUUUAGGGAGGGGCCCGCGUCCUAUCAGUUAGUUGGUAGGGUAAGGGCCUACCAAGGCGAUGACGGGUAGCUGGUCUGAGAGGAUGGUCAGCCACACUGGAACUGAGAGACGGUCCAGACUCCUACGGGAGGCAGCAGUGAGGAAUUUUGCGCAAUGGGGGAAACCCUGACGCAGCGACGCCGCGUGGGUGAGGAAGGCCUUCGGGUUGUAAAGCCCUGUCGAGUGGGAAGAAUUUCUUAGGGUUAAACAGGCUUUAAGAUUGACGGUACCACUGGAGGAAGCACCGGCUAACUCCGUGCCAGCAGCCGCGGUAAUACGGAGGGUGCGAGUGUUGUUCGGAAUUAUUGGGCGUAAAGGGCGUGUAGGCGGUAGGGCGAGUCAGGUGUGAAAGUCCUGGGCUCAACCUAGGAAGUGCAUUUGAUACUGUUUUACUUGAGUACCGGAGAGGAAGGGGGAAUUCCCGGUGUAGGGGUGAAAUCCGUAGAUAUCGGGAGGAAUACCGGUGGCGAAGGCGCCCUUCUGGACGGAUACUGACGCUGAGGCGCGAGAGCGUGGGGAGCAAACAGGAUUAGAUACCCUGGUAGUCCACGCUGUAAACGAUGGUCACUAGGUGUGGGGGGGUAUUGAUACCUUCUGUGCCGGAGUUAACGCAUUAAGUGACCCGCCUGGGGAUUACGGUCGCAAGGCUAAAACUCAAAGGAAUUGACGG